AUUGAACGCUGGCGGCAAGCCUAACACAUGCAAGUCGAACGAGUGGCGGACGGGUGAGUAAUGUCUGGGAAACUGCCUGAUGGAGGGGGAUAACUACUGGAAACGGUAUCUAAUACCGCAUACCAUCGGAUGUGCCCUGAUGGGAUUAGCUAGUAGGUGGGGUAAAGGCUCACCUAGGCGACGAUCCCUAGCUGGUCUGAGAGGAUGACCAGCCACACUGGAAGUGUGACACGGUCCAGACGCAUACGGGAGGGAGCAGUGGGGAAUAUUGCACAAUGGGCGAAAGCCUGAUGCAGCCAUGCCGAGUGUAUGAAGAAGGCCUUCGGGUUGUAAAGUACUUUCAUCGGGGAGGCGUUACCCGCAGAAGAAGCACCGGCUAACUCCGUGCCAGCAGCCGCGGUAAUAC
rnacentral:rRNA from 1 species